rnacentral:tRNA from 1 species
AUUUAAAUAGCUUAUAAUAAGAGUUUAACAUUGAAGCUGUUAAGGAGGUUUAAACCUUUAAAUA